AGUGAACGCUGGCGGUAGGCCUAACACAUGCAAGUCGAACGGCAGCACAGGAGAGCUUGCUCUCUGGGUGGCGAGUGGCGGACGGGUGAGGAAUACAUCGGAAUCUACUCUGUCGUGGGGGAUAACGUAGGGAGACUUACGCUAAUACCGCAUACGACCUACGGGUGAAAGCAGGGGAUCUUCGGACCUUGCGCGAUUGAAUGAGCCGAUGUCGGAUUAGCUAGUUGGCGGGGUAAAGGCCCACCAAGGCGACGAUCCGUAGCUGGUCUGAGAGGAUGAUCAGCCACACUGGAACUGAGACACGGUCCAGACUCCUACGGGAGGCAGCAGUGGGGAAUAUUGGACAAUGGGCGCAAGCCUGAUCCAGCCAUACCGCGUGGGUGAAGAAGGCCUUCGGGUUGUAAAGCCCUUUUGUUGGGAAAGAAAUCCAGCUGGCUAAUACCCGGUUGGGAUGACGGUACCCAAAGGAUAAGCACCGGCUAACUUCGUGCCAGCAGCCGCCGUAA
rnacentral:rRNA from 1 species